CACCGAGCACCCGGGGGACACCGAGCAUCCGGGGAACAUGGAGCGUCCGCCCGAGGCUGUGGGUCCCACACUCCUGUUCUCUCUGCUUCCGCUCCCUUCCGGCCCUCGGUCUCUGUCCCCAGCCUCCCUCCUCCGAGGGCGGUGCUGUCACCACACAGCGGGCCGCGGGCAAGGCCUCGCUCCUGACGUCUGUGUGAGCGGGUUCUGUAGGCCUGACGGGAGCCCAGGGCGGAUGGCGGAGGUGACCCAGGGCCGACCGCCGGCCUCGCGUGGCCGUUCAGAGCCCACGUCCCCUUUUCCUGCGCUCAGCACAGGGAGUCUGGCCUGCGCACCGAGGCGCAGCGGCGCCCACGGGCGGGCCGAGGAGCCCCAGGAGAGGCAGGGACGGCGCCCUCCUCUCGGGCACGCGUCCUCUCGGGCGGCCGCGGCCUGGCGGGGACAGCAGGAGAGCGGAGCUUCCCCCCGCGGCCGCGGGCCAGUCCCCGCGCGCGAGGGCUCCGCGCACCUUCCUCCCUUCCAUCCGAUCAGCAGCCCCGGGAGGCAGGCCUUUCGGCCUCCCCUCCGGAGGGGAGGACACGGCGGCUCGGGAGGUUAAGGACGUCAUUUGCCCGAGGUCUCAGCGGGCGGACCGCGGGCGUCUGGCCGGGAAUCCUGUUCCUUCCUCUGGGCAGCUGCUCGCCUUCCGACCAGCCGGCCGGCCGUUCUCGGGCCCGGUGGCGACCUCCUGCCCCAGGGUCCGCUCUGUGCCUCCGGAGGAAGGGGCAGACCCUGGCCACCCGGCGGCAGCGGCCCACGCAGGUGUCGGAGACGGCUCUGCCCGCUCCAGGCGGGUCCCGCUCCACAGCCCGGGCGGCCGGACGCGGGGCGCCCGGAGGGGACGGCGCUGAGGUUUGCAAGCCGAGGGCGCCGCGGCAGAGGGGAAGGGGGCCAAGGCCUGGCCGGAGACGUUUCUGAAGCCCCACCGUGCAACGAGCUCCCGAGGCCCCGGAGCGGCCACUGCGCCUCCGGGGACCUUGGAUGCAUGAGAGGACUGUGUGUGCAUGUGAGUGUGUGCGCUCACGUGUGUGUGCGCCUGUGUGAGUAUGCGGGUGUGUGUGCCUGUGCACGUGUGAGUGAAUAUGUUUUGAGGGGACACGGAUUCUGACCAGCCCGAGUUGGGGAUUGUCCUCUCGUCUGAGGCUGCAGAGGCCGAACGCGUGCUCUGCGCUCCUGCCGGCUCCGGGGCCUCUGUCUCCGGCAGCCGACUUUCCGGACGAGAAGAGAAGCCCCAGGCAAACUUAAGCGGCCACCAGGAGAGCUGCAGAUGAUUUUUAAGAGCUAAGGCUACCACCCACGAUUGACUGUGAACGACCCUUGCUCGCCGUCACUAUCGGAAACUGUGCGCGCGGCUCCGCGCAUCCGUGCGCCCAGCGAAGCCCUCGGCGGGCAGGGAGUCGGCGCGAUCACGUGCGGGGAGCGGAGGGGCCCCUGCUGCCCAGGAGCGACAGCCGGCCGAACAAAGGCAGGGAAGGCAGCGGCUCCUGCGCGCAGCUGGGUGGCAGUCGUUGGAGGUAACAGAUCCCGUCAAGUUAUGCAGGCGCGCGCAGAGGAGCCGUGCCCUCCCGCAGAUCCGCAACAGGCCUACUUCUUCGGGAAGGCUCCUGCACGCCCGGCGGCCCAAAGAGGCCCGCUGCCUGGGUAAAGAGGGAGCGAAGAGGAAGAAGGGGUCUGUGCUAUCCUACAACACUGAGGGCAGGGCUCUGCGUGGCACAGCUACCAAAGCAGCCGGGAAUCCAAGAAGAGCUUCAGUUUCAAGACAGCGUCUUCUUGGAAGUGGAAAGAUAGCAAUUACAAGAACAGCAAUGCCGAAGGAGGUGAAAUGCAGUGUCCAGGGCUGAAUGAAGUCAAUCUUCU
rnacentral:lncRNA from 1 species